rnacentral:tRNA from 1 species
GGCCAGUUAGCUCAGUCAGUUAGAGCGUGGUGCUGAUAAAACCAAGGCUGCAGGUUCGAUCCACGCUCGGUCCC